UUCCAUAUAGUCUAUGUGACUAUUUGUGAAGAACUGCCCAUUAUUAAAUUGGUGAAAUAAUGUAAUUGUGCUUUUAUUUUUACUCUUUAUUCAUUUAGCUACUUAUUUUUUCUAUUGUUGCAUUUUUGAGAGAAAGAACAACAAGACUGGAGAACAAAGAUAACACUGAGUCAUGUCCGACUCGGAGACCAUCGAGCUAGCUGCUCUGGGCCGACCCUUCCAGCUGGGGAUGCUGUAUGACUGUCGUAGCGAUGUCCUCAUUCCAGUGUUCAUUUUUCUUCAAAUCUACAAGAAGAUGAUUCAUAUACCCGCUGCAUAUUGGUCCGAUUUCUCCUCUUCAGACGACGAAGUUUAUGACAGUCUCCAUUAGAACAUUAAGCUUCCCAAUGUUGUAGGAGUGUUUGCUGCGUAGAUCCAACUGAGAUGUGGGGCUGAUUUGGAUUUGUAUUAGAACUCUUAGCCUCGUGUAAAGCCUUAUGUUAAUUUGUCCACCCCAAGGUAACUUAACAAAAAUUAGGGCUUAGAUUAAAUCAGAACUGCAUAGAAAAUCAUUGUCUUUGUUCAGGCAAUGUCAGAGGUGUAACUGCAUCAAUUCUCUGAGUGGCUCCUCUUGUGGUCAUUGUCACUAAGCCACACCCAUCCUACCGGUGUUAGAAGUUCAGAAGGAGAAAGUGUUGGCUAUAUAGAAAUAAUGACACUCACAUUGAAAAUCAUUAAAUUCAAGAAUAAUGAUUGAUAUCAGCCUAAUGGAGGUGUAUAGUCGUGGCCAAAAGUUGAGAAUGACACAAAUAUACAUUUUCACAAAGUUUGCUGCUUCAGUGUCUUUAGAUAUUUUUGUCAGAUGUUACUAUGGAAUACUGACGUAUAAUUACAAGCAUUUCAUAAGUGUCAAAGGCUUUUAUUGACAAUUACAUGAAGUUGAUGCAAAGAGUCAAUAUAUGCAGUGUUUACCCUUCUUUUUCAAGACCUCUGCAAUCUGCCCUGGCAUGCUGUCAAUUAACUUCUGGGCCACAUCCUGACUGAUGGCAGCCCAUUCUUGCAUAAUCAAUGCUUGGAGUUUGUCAGAAUUUUGGGGUUUUUGUUUGUCCACCCGCCUCUUGAGGAUUGACCACCAGUUCUCAAUGGGAUUAAGGUCUGGGGAGUUUCCUGGCCAUGGACCCAAAAUAUCAAUGUUUUCUUCCCCGAGCCACUUAGUUAUCACUUUUGCCUUAUGGUAAGGUGCUCCAUCAUGCUGGAAAAGGCAUUGUUCAUCACCAAACUGUUCCUGGAUGGUUGGGAGAAGUUGCUCUCGGAGGAUGUGUUGGUACCAUUCUUUAUUCAUGGCUAUGUUCUUAGGCAAAAUUGUGAGUGAGCCCACUCCCUUGGCUGAGAAGCAACCCCACAGAUGAAUGGUCUCAGGAUGCUUUACUGUUGGCAUGACACAGGACUGAUGGUAGCGCUCACCUUGUCUUCUCCGGACAAGCUUUUUUCCGGAUGACCCAAACAAUCGGAAAGGGGAUUCAUCAGAGAAAAUGACUUUACCCCAGUCCUCAGCAGUCCAAUCCCUGUACCUUUUGCAGAAUAUCAGUCUGUCCCUGAUGUUUUUCCUGGAGAGAAGUGGCUUCUUUGCUGCCCUUCUUGACACCAGGCCGUCCUCCAAAAGUCUUCGCCUCACUGUGCGUGCAGAUGCACUCACACCUGCCUGCUGCCAUUGAUGAGCAAGCUCUUUACUGGUGGUGCCCCGAUCCCGCAGCUGAAUCAACUUUAGGAGACGGUCCUGGCGCUUGCUGGACUUUCUUGGGCGCCCUGAAGCCUCCUUUUGUGGCAGGGCUGAAAUGCAGUGGCAAUGUUUGUUUUUUUAGGAUUCAGUUCAUUUGCGUGGCAAAGAGGGACUUUGCAAUUCAUCAGAUCACUCUUCAUAAUAUUAUGGAGUAUUUGCAAAUUGCCAUCAUACAAACUGAGGCAGCAGACUUUGUGAAAAUUAAUAUUUGUGUCAUUCUCAACUUUUGGCCACAACUGUACUGUGUACUACAACACACACAUUCCUAUGUUCAAACUUGUGAAACGGAUGCAUGAGAUUUCUACUAAUGUUACUCAGUGUAUCGAAUGUCCAUGAUAGGUAUAACGCUGGGAAACACAGUAACACCUCUGACAUCGCCUAAGGGUAUUUCUAUAAGCUAGAGUACCAGUGAGGAUUUCCUGCGGUGGACAACUCACAGAUACAGCUGUUGAUAAGUAGUAAUUGAUAUAAGGAACAUUCAAUAAAAUUCACAAGUUAAUUUAAUAAACUAUGUUUAACACUUUUUCAUGGUUGGUGUCUUGACAGAUUUGUCCAGAAUCGUGAGACAUAAAACACUACAUUUCUUACCUUGCAUUCAUGGCAGUGUUUGUUGUUCUAUCAUAUAUUAAGCAUUUAUCAGUUAAAUGAGACAUUGAACUUGAACCCGGUAAGAAUCCUGGAUCUUGCUCGGACAGUUCUUUGUAUGGCAAUUUUGGAAAUGCACUGUAACUAGGCUUAUGUAACAUUUAGUGUUUCCUUAUGUUACGGUGUGAAUAUAGUUUUCAUGUGCACACAAAUCCAAAAUGUACAGUACCAGUAAAAAUUUUGGACACACC
rnacentral:lncRNA from 1 species